UAACAACUUCUCUUAGAUAUAACAUUCAGACAUAUAUAUAUAUAUAUAUAUAUAACCUAUCUGUCAGUUUGGGGUUUAUAUCAAUUAAUUGAGAUUAUUACAUAACAAGAAAUAUAGUUAGACACAAAGAGCUACUGCAAAGUUCUCUAUCAUUUAUAAUUAAGUGUGGAUUAAAUAUGAUUCCUUGUAGUUAUAUUACCGUUAAUGAGGGGACAUGGCAUUCUUUCCGUCUGUCUACCAAACUGUUGUUGUUGUUAACGAUGAUGAUGAUGAUGAUGAAGUCGCCUUACACUUCAGCCACUAUUGAAAUGGAAAUUUUACCUAGAGAAGGUUUCACUUUUGAAGAACACGAGGCAAUAAACAUAAGCUGUCGAUCCAAUUUGAGCAAUCCAGAUUCGUUCGUCCUCAUACGAAAUGGCACUAAAAUCGUGCAUAUGGAAUACGACAAAAUAUCCAACUAUUUUAAAGCCAUAAAGGACACCAAUAAUUUCCAAUGUUAUGCAUAUAAACAAGCGAAUUUCUUCGAGUUUUCGUGCACGAAAAUGAACCUUACGUGCGACGAUGCAACAUCAUACAUAUGUUCUGUAAAUAACACAUAUGAUUCCAGUCCAAAGACUAUACCAGCGAAGUCUUCUUAAAAAAGUUUGGAAUAUGUUAGCGGUUCCAGUAAAUGGGGCAACAAUGAAGGGUACUUGUGUCGGGCAAUUGCUGUGUUAGCUCCCGGAAGUCAGGUUACUUUUAAAUGGGAAUUGUUGAAUGCUAAUUAUGAGACAAAGACUACAGAAACAAAAGUAACUGUUCCUGAUUCUGGCAAGUGCUAUAGUGAAGUAUCUUCAUUCUUUCCGUGCAAUAUAUCAGAGGUUGUGCGCAUCACUUGUUCAGCAAUUGGCCAGGUACGAUACGAGGAAGGUGACACGGCCAUCAUUGCUAGCGGCGCUCGUUCUGGUAUAUUGUAUUCUAAAUGGAUUCUAACUGUCAAUCUCAUUCUUCCGCUUCUGGUUGUUGCAAUUUCUCGUUAGCAACAUUCCGUUUUGCACAGAGUUGAUAACGAAGAUUUAUACUUCCGUUUACUGAAUUUGGUAUCGACAAGCGAUUGAAAUGAAUUUUCACCCGUACAAGAUUUUACAAGAUGCUUAUAAAUUUUUAGAUAUCAAGCUUGUUAAUUAUAACUCCUGUUAGCCACUAACUGCAGAAAUACAAUAUCAACAAUUCCACAUUUGGAGUUACAGUAUUAUAUAGAGGCAGUCUGAAUAUGUUGACAUAGUUUCAUCAGGUUAAAGUGGACUUUUGUUAAGUUAAUAAAAGAGUUAAAAGUAAAAUUAGUUAAGAACUACAUCAAAAAUGUUUUGAUUUAAAAGUUAAAAAACAUUUUAAUACCUCGUUCAGAGAUUUAACAUUGCUUAAAAGACAUUAUUGUUACAGGAAAUAUAUUAAGAGACUGUAUUAUAUAUAUAUAUAUGUAUUUUAUAUGUAAACCAAUG
rnacentral:lncRNA from 1 species